rnacentral:rRNA from 1 species
AUACGUAGGGGCGAGCGUUGUCCGGAAUGAUUGGGCGUAAAGGGCGCGUAGGCGGCCCGGUAAGUCUGGAGUGAAAGUCCUGUUUUUAAGAUGGGAAUUGCUUUGGAUACUGUCGGGCUUGAGUGCAGGAGAGGUAAGUGGAAUUACCAGUGUAGCGGUGCAAUGCGUAGAGAUUGGGAGGAACACCAGUGGCGAAGGCGGCUUACUGGACUGUAACUGACGCUGAGGCGCGAAAGUGUGGGGAGCAAACAGGAUGAGAUACCCUGGUAGUCCACACUGUAAACGAUGAAUUCUAGGUGUAGGGGGUAUCGACCCCUUCUGUGCCGCAGUCAACACAAUAAGCAUUCCGCCUGGGGAGUACGGCCGCAAGGUUGAAACUCAAAUGAAUUGACGGGG